rnacentral:rRNA from 1 species
CGAAAGAGUAGCUAAUACCCCAUAGUAUUCCGGUUUAUCCGGAUUUAAAGAUUUAUCGCUUCGGGAGGGGCCUGCGUCUGAUUAGCUUUGUUGGUGGGUAAAAGCUCACCAAGGCGACGAUCAGUAGCUGGUUCGAGAGGACGACCAGCCACACUGGGACUGAGAUACGGCCCAGACUCCUACGGGAGGCAGCAGUGAGGAAUCUUCCACAAUGGACGAAAGUCUGAUGGAGCAAUACCGCGUGCAGGACGACGCUUUUCGGAGUGUAAACUGCUUUUGUCGUCGAAGAUUAUGACUGUAGACGAAGAAUAAGGACCGGCUAACUACGUG